UUAUGAUGAAGAAACAUAGCUGGCACCAGUCCGAGAAAGACUUGUACUCAUUUGAUGCGGAUAAGCUUUGCAACGAGGAAACCCCUCUUGUCCUGAU
rfam:Mycosphaerella graminicola IPO323 chromosome 1, whole genome shotgun sequence.